CAGCAGCCACGGUAAUACGGAGGGAGCUAGCGUUGUUCGGAAUUACUGGGCGUAAAGCGCGCGUAGGCGGUUACUCAAGUCAGAGGUGAAAGCCCGGGGCUCAACCCCGGAACUGCCUUUGAAACUAGGUGACUAGAAUCUUGGAGAGGUCAGUGGAAUUCCGAGUGUAGAGGUGAAAUUCGUAGAUAUUCGGAAGAACACCAGUGGCGAAGGCGACUGACUGGACAAGUAUUGACGCUGAGGUGCGAAAGCGUGGGGAGCAAACAGGAUUAGAUACCCCGGUAGUCCCUGUCUCUUAUAC
rnacentral:rRNA from 1 species